UUUACUGACGAGUCCACUAUCCGACAGGGUCAUUGUUGACUUAUGGAAAAUAUGUUUGUAGAUUCCUGUCAAAGCAUUUUCUUAUUUAUCCUGGGAAUGGGUAAAUCAUAAGUGAUUUCAAUGGGUUAAUAAAUUAACUCUUCAGUGUAUUUAUGACAGCCAUUUUAUUUCACAAUGAUGUAUGGUUAACUGUUGUGUCCUGUUCUGGCCACAAGAUGUUAGCCAUAAUACAUUGUAAUUCCUUCCUGAUAUGACCUUUGGAUUGAGGCAUGGAACUGUGUGUGUGUGUAAUGUAAUGAUAUAUAAUUAGUUUUACGACCGGUGGUUGGAUCUUCACAGAGAUGUUGAGGCAGCUGAGGUCAAUGAGACGGGAACGAGCUCUGAGGUCAAACAAGCUGUAAACAUGAAGAUUCUUUAAAUCAUUGACCGUGGGCAGGUAUUGUCCGAGGCGACUAAACUCCAAAAACCUUUUGACCUAUUUGCUUGCAGCCAAUCAGGGCAACCCCAUCUGAUGCAACUGAGCAAGGUGUUCACAGUCCAACCUCUCGACCUGCGACGAAGACAAUUUUAAAAGGCUCCAUGUAGCAGAGAACUUUCACAAUCUUUUGUGGAAAGGUUGACUUAGCCCUGAUUAGUCGGAAGGGAUCACCGUAGACCUCUGGAACUUCAGCAAUCGGAGAGAACACAAAAAGUUGUCGGACUGCCACGCUGAGGAAUACGAGUUGAUUGCCACCCAUCUGACGGGAGCUGUCAUGCAAAUGGUGGAUUGCAUUAUGGAGUAUGGAAAUCCACGGUUUAGCGAGACGCUGCCUCCAACGUAAUUUUGGAGAAUUUGGCAGUACGUCCAACCGGCCUCACAACCGCAGACCAUGUGUAACCACGCCAGCCCAGGACCUCUACAUCCGGCUUCUUCACCUGCGGGAUCGUCUGAGACCAGCCAUCCUGAUGGCUGAUGAAACUGAGGAGUGUUUCUGUCUGUAAUAAAGCCCUUUUGAGGGGAAAAAGUUAUUCUGAUUGGCUGCGCCUGGCUCCCAAGUUGGUAGGCCUACGUGCCCCUGCCCAGUCAUAUGAAAUCUAAUUAAUUUGUUUAAAUUGACUCAUUUGCUUAUAUGAACCGUAACUCAGUAAAAUCAUUGAAAUCGUU